AUUCCCCUAGUAGCGGCGAGCGAAGCGGGAAGAGCUCAAAUUUAUAAUCUGGCACCUUCGGUGUCCGAGUUGUAAUCUCUAGAAAUGUUUUCCGCGUUGGACCGCACACAAGUCUGUUGGAAUACAGCGGCAUAGUGGUGAGACCCCCGUAUAUGGUGCGGACGCCCAGCGCUUUGUGAUACAUUUUCGAAGAGUCGAGUUGUUUGGGAAUGCAGCUCAAAUUGGGUGGUAAAUUCCAUCUAAAGCUAAAUAUUGGCGAGAGACCGAUAGCGAACAAGUACCGUGAGGGAAAGAUGAAAAGCACUUUGGAAAGAGAGUUAACAGUACGUGAAAUUGUUGGAAGGGAAACGCUUGAAGUCAGACUUGCUUGCCGAGCAAUCGGUUUGCAGGCCAGCAUCAGUUUUCCGGGAUGGAUAAUGGUAGAGAGAAGGUAGCAGUUUCGGCUGUGUUAUAGCUCUCUGCUGGAUACAUCUUGGGGGACUGAGGAACGCAGUGUGCCUUUGGCGGGGGUUUCGACCUC
rnacentral:rRNA from 1 species